rnacentral:piRNA from 1 species
UGCCCUGUCAGCAGUCUGACUCUGGAAUU